CCAGGUGCAGCAGAAAGCCCACCGGGACGUGGUGGCCGUGUACCGCAGCCACCUGCUCAACGCCGCCCAGGGCUUCAUGGACGAGGCGGUGCACGGGCGGCUGCUGCGCAUCCUGCGGGCGGAGGAGCGGGGCCAGGAUGCGGCCCGGCAUUAAAACGGAGCUGGCGGCCCCACAGCGCGACCCCACAGAGUCUUGUCCUUUUGGGGGGAACGGGGACAUAUUCGGGGGGAAACUCUGUGGGGUCUGACAGUGGUGGAGGGGUCGGGGCGGCUGCUGCGGCCCCGCAGAGGAUGGUCCUACAAACACCGGUCACACAGCACGGCCCCAUAGUCCUGGCCCCACAGAGGUCAGGUCCACGGUGUCCCGGCCCCAUAGAAACCUGGCCCUACAGUGUCCUGGCUCUACAGUGUCCCGGCCCUGCAUAUGACGGUCCCACAGCAUCCCAGUCCCACAGAAGCCUGGUCCUCAUAGAAACCUGGUCCCCAUAGAAGCCGGCCCCAUAAAAGCCCCCUCCCAGAAACCUGGCCCCACAGAAGCCCACGUCCUCAUAGAAACCUGGUCCCCAUAGAAGCCGGCCCCAUAAAAGCCCCCUCCCAGAAACCUGGCCCCACAGAAGCCCACGCUACAGAAGCCCACCCCAUAGAAACCCGGCCCCAUAGAAGCCCUCCCCCCCUUCCCCCCAAGACCUGGCCCCAUAGAAGCCCNCGCCUGCGUCCUGCGGGAGCUGCAGCGGCGGCUGGAGGCCCUGGCGAGGUCCCAGCACGAGGCCCUGCAGCUGGUGGCCGAGAUGGAGGCCGAGGAGGCGGCGGGGAGAGGAGGCCGCCCCGGCGAGGAGGACGGGGACGUCGGAGAGGGGCUGGGGGGGCUCAGCCCCGCGCCAGGACCCCGGCCGGGGGAACCGGGGGAACCGGAGGCUCCUGGGGGGGCGCGGGAGCUGCAGGAGAGGCUGGAGGAGGCCAGGGCCGAGGCCGGGCGCUGGGAGGCCGCCGCCGCCGCCGAGCGCAGGGCCAAGGAGGAGGCGGAGGCCAGGGAGGCCGAGCGGGAGCUGGAGGCGCGGGAGCUGCGGGAGAAGGCGCGGGGGCUGGAGAGGACCCUGGGGAGGCUCCGCGCCGCCCUGCGGGACAGGGAGGCCAAGACCAAGCAGCUGCUGGCCGAGGCGGAGGCGCUGGCGGCGGCGGUGCUGGCGGCGCGCAGCGAGGGCGCCCGGCUGCGGCUGCAGCUCCAGGUGGGGACGGGACCCCACAAGUGUCCCCACGUCCCCCCCCGACCCCAAAGGGACCCCACGGGG
rnacentral:lncRNA from 1 species